rnacentral:lncRNA from 1 species
CAGCAUCCGGUUUCUGCAAUUUCCAGAAAGAAAGAUCAAAUUGUUAGUGCAGUUAGCCAGUUGCAUUUGUUUCUCAUACUUAUUGUUGUAUUUCCUCUGUGGACCAAUUAUUGACAUACUCCUAUAUAUAUCUAUGUAGUCUCUGAAGGUAACAAGCAGACAAGGAAGAACACUAACCGGUUCGGAUGAAAUCUUUAGAAACUAAUGUGUCGCACCUGUUAGGUAUAUCUUACACUCUCAGCUUUAUACCAUUAUAAGCGAAGUGAUCAUUUUAGAAUGAAUAUAGCACUUUGUUUAGAAGCAUUUACAUAAACAUGUAUUGUUUGAAGAUAGAAACCCAAUAGAGUUCAGAAAUGAAAAGAAACUUGAGCAAAAAAUGGUAAUAUAAAAAAUUCAUCAUUCUACCAUUGGGUUGGUACGAUUUGCACUAGGCAUUUUGAUUGUGUUAAUAUGUUCCCUGCAUUAUAAGUUUUAUAUCAGUUUAACCCUUCUGUUAAUGAGAAUUACUUAUUGAAACAGAGAACAUGAGUAUAUGGCCUAAAAUAUUUCUUUUGCUUUAAUUCAACUUUGGUCUAAUCUCUCUGUUCUCAAACUCUAUCUUCAUUUCAUCUCAGUUUGUGCAACAGGAAUCUCUAGACCAAAUGAAGCAGACACGAAUUGAAACAGCCUCCAUGUCUCUCUUUAUCUUCUUCCUUUCUUUCUUCAUUUAAAUCUAUUUUAUUUUCCUUUUUUUUCCCCUCAUUCUCGCACCUGUAUUCUGACACAUCUCCUUUUUCCCCUUCUUUUUCUUUCUCCUUUUCUUCAUCACCAACAGCAACACCAUCAGAUCUAUCGCUGAUCUCUCUCUCCCCUCACAAGCCCCCCUCCACAAAACCCUCCUCUAAGACUCUUUCCUCAAAACGGACUCGGUCACUCUCUCCGUCAACUCAUCCAUUAAAAAAAAAAAAAACCACAUGUAAAAACCUCAGGUCAACGAAAUUUGGGUUAGGAAAAAGUGUGAGCUGGGGGGAAACCUCAGGUCAUUUUUCUGGCAUAUUCGGGUUUAACGUGGGUGCAUUUUUGUGAGUUGACUCACGUGCUCUGCACAUAUGUUAGUUUUAAGGUUUUGUACUUUUAAAUUUAUAUUUUGAUUUAUGGGGAAUGUCAUGUCUAAAUUAACUAAAAAUAAAUUAACGGACUGGUUAAUUUGAUAUAAAUACAAUAAUAUAAGAG